UACAGAGACUGCAAGCGUUAUUCGGAAUCACUGGGCGUAAAGAGUGCGUAGGCGGUUAUGAAAGUUAGGAGUGAAAGCCCCAGGCUCAACUUGGGAAUUGCUUUUAAUACUACAUGACUUGAGUCCGGGAGGGGAGAGCGGAAUUCCUAGUGUAGCGGUGAAAUGCGCAGAUAUUAGGAAGAACACCGGUGGCGAAGGCGGCUCUCUGGGCCGAUAUUGACGCUGAGGAGCGAAAGCGUGGGGAGCGAACAGG
rnacentral:rRNA from 1 species